UACGUAGGUGGCAAGCGUUGUCCGGAUUUAUUGGGUUUAAAGGGUGCGUAGGCGGUUCCAUAAGUCAGUGGUGAAAUACGGCAGCUCAACUGUCGAGGUGCCAUUGAUACUGCGGAACUUGAGUACUGAUGAGGUAGGCGGAAUUGACGGUGUAGCGGUGAAGUGCUUAGAUAUCGUCAAGAACACCGAUAGCGAAGGCAGCUUACCAAUCAGUAACUGACGCUGAGGCACGAAAGUGCGGGGAUCAAACAGG
rnacentral:rRNA from 1 species